GAUGAACGCUGGCGGCGUGCCUAAUACAUGCCAGUCGAGCGAACGGACGAGGAGCUUGCUUCUCUGAUGUUAGCGGCGGACGGGUGAGUAACACGUGGAUAACCUACCUAUAAGACUGGGAUAACUUCGGGAAACCGGAGCUAAUACCGGAUAAUAUUUUGAACCGCAUGGUUCAAAAGUGAAAGACGGUCUUGCUGUCACUUAUAGAUGGAUCCGCGCUGCAUUAGCUAGUUGGUAAGGUAACGGCUUACCAAGGCAACGAUGCAUAGCCGACCUGAGAGGGUGAUCGGCCACACUGGAACUGAGACACGGUCCAGACUCCUACGGGAGGCAGCAGUAGGGAAUCUUACGCAAUGGGCGAAAGCCUGACGGAGCAGCGCCGCGUGAGUGAUGAAGGUCUUCGGAUCGUAAAACUCUGUUAUUAGGGAAGAACAUAUGUGUAAGUAACUGUGCACAUCUUGACGGUACCUAAUCAGAAAGCCACGGCUAACUACGUG
rnacentral:rRNA from 1 species